rnacentral:sRNA from 1 species
AGGGGGUGCCUUUCAGGCAUCCUCUCCUAAAACUUUCAUGGGCUGGCCUUUUAAAGGGCUGGCCCCUUUUUUUUGCCUGC